rnacentral:lncRNA from 1 species
CUCUUAAUCUUUUUUUCUCACAAAAACCAUGAAAAGAGAAAGGGUGAAGCUCUUGACUUAGAAUUUUGUAGGAAGAGUUUGAGGGAGCGUGCUGUAGAUGCUUUUGCAAGGUGAUUGUAUGAUGCGGGGUUUCCUUUUAAUUGUGUGAAUUACACUGAUAUUUUUGAGGAAUUUAUUGGGCCGUUGGCCAAUAUGGCCCGGGAAUGAAGCCCCCUACCUAUCACGAAGUAAGAGUUCCUUGUCUAAAAAAGGAGGUGGAGAAGAUAGACAAGAUUAUCGAGGAGCAUAAGGCACAAUGGAAAGUUUAUGAUUGUUCCAUUAUGAUGGACAAAUGGACCGCAAAAAAUGAAAAAAUAGUCAUUAAUGUUUUGGUGAAUUCUCCGAAAGGUAGUGUGUUUCUUGAAUCUUAUGAUGCUAGUGACUCCUCAACCGAUUCCAAUAAAAUGUUCAACUUGUUUGAGAAGACAAUAUUAAAAGUUGGACCUGAAAAUGUGGUUCAAGUUGUUACUGAUAACACAAGUGAGAAUAAAAAGGCGGGUGACAUGUUGAAAGGAGUUUUCCCAAGUAUUUAUUGGACUCCUUGUGCUGCACAUUGUAUCAACUUGAUCUUUGGUGACAUUUUCAAGUUAGCCCCAUAUUCUACAGGUGAACAAGUGGUUCUUAUUUUCUAUUUUAAGUUUUUAACCUUCAUGUUAAAUAUUUCAUUCUUAUUAACAAUGAAAUUUGACUUCCUACAAUUUUUGCUAAGGCGGUCAACAUAUAUUCUUAAUUAGUCAAAGGCAGUUGUUGUUGAACAUGAUGAGGAGAUACACAAAAGAAAGAAAUUUGGUGAAACCAGCCAAGACAAGAUUCGCAACAGCUCUCUUGACCUUGCAAAGAUUUUACGUGCAAAAGCAAAAUUUGCGAACCAUGUUCUUGUCAACUGAAUGGAUUGAGAGUAACUAUGCAAAGGAAACUCUUGCGAAAGAAGUUGCGAGAUUUGCUAUUUGUCCUGCUUUUUGGAAUGACACUGUUCAAGCACUUAGAGUUGGUAAUCCUUUGAUUACUGUACUUCGUCUGGUGGAUGGGGAGAAAAAAUCACCAAUGGGAUACAUUUAUGAAGCCAUGGAUAGGGCUAAAGAAGCUAUGUUUGCAACAGCUCUCUUGACCUUCCAAAGCUUUUACGUGCAAAAGCAAAAUUUGCGAACUAUGUUCUUGUCAACCGAAUGGAGUGAGAGUAACUAUGCAAAGGAAACUCUUGGGAAAGAAGUUGCGAGAUUUGCUAUUAGUCCUGCUUUUUGGAAUGACAUUGUUCAAGCACUUAGAGUUGGUAAUCCUUUGAUUACUGUACUUCGUCUGGUGGAUGGGAAGAAAAAACCACCAAUGGGAUACAUUUAUGAAGCCAUGGAUAGGGCUAAAGAAGCUAUUGAGAAAGCAUUUGAUCAUGAUAGGAGGAAAUAUGAGAAAGUGUUUCAAAUCAUUGAUAAAAGGUGGGAUGCUCAGCUUCAUCAAUCUGAUAGGAGGAAAUAUGAGAAAGUGUUUCAAAUCAUUGAUAAAAGAUGGGAUGCUCAGCUUCAUCAACCUUUACAUGCAGCAGGGCAUAUUUUGAACCCCGAAUUGUUUUACACAAACAAUGAGAACAAGACUUUAGAUUUAAACGUUUGGAAGGGGUAUCAUGCAUGUGUUGCGACGUUGUUGCCAGAUGAAGCGAUGCAAGACAAAAUAGGGGAAGAGUUUGGUGUGUAUAGGCAAGCCGAUGGAAUUCUUGGAUUACCUCCGGCCAUUAGAGGCAGAACCAAAUUGGCACCAAGUGAGCAACUUUUUUCAAUUGUUUUCCUCUUUAGAGCUUUAACUUUCAACCGGCCAUUAGAGGCAGCACCAAAUUGGCACCAAGUGAGCAACUUUUUUCAAUUGUUUUCCUCUUUAGAGCUUUAACUUACAAGUUAUUAACUUCUAAAAUAAUACUUCUACAGUUGAAUGGUGGAUGCAGUUUGGUUAUGAA